rnacentral:lncRNA from 1 species
GGGCAGGUGGAGGUAACUUCUCAGGAGGAGCAAAUAAGGAAAUCCUGGAGAAGGAAAAGUUUUGAUAAGGCUAAUGAAGGCCACUGCUUCUGGACUUCCGGGGUGGCGCCAUCGGCAAUGGCGGACUCCCUCUGAACUGGAGGGACCAGCUCCGUGUGAAACGGGUCUUUUCCGCUACGGCGAAGCGGGGACCCUUUUAGAAAUCACAGGCGGAUGAAGCCUGUGACCAUGGGACUUGGCGGGCACCCUUAGCGCCCCCCCCCCAACCCGCAAAGGAACCCAUUAACGGGCUCCGAAGUGAAGAGGGGGAAGUGGCGCGGUGCUGCGAGUCAACCGCUUUUUCUGUGGAGCGAAGCCGCAUAGCCGUUGCCGGAGAGCGCUGCCUUUUUCCUGGGACAAUUUGGCAUCUAAAAUAAUCACCCGUGAGUACAUAAACUUUGAACAAUCGGACUAUAAACAAGGACUGGCGAGCAGAAAGGAAUUGGACUUAAAAAUUUAAUCUAAUUUGGUACUGAAACGGGAAGGUCUAAACAGGAAGUCAGCCUUCCUUUUCUCUGUAGACAGAAUAAAGCAAAGACAACGUAAACUAGAGCUUAGAAAAUUACUUCUAAAGGAUUGGCUUUCAUCAUUUAAAAUUGUUGAGCCCCCCUUCGGUAGCAGGAGAAGAAGGGGGAUCUUUUUUUUGGACUGUUUAAACCUGCAGAAGUGAGUUCAAAGUAAAGUAACUUUCCUCCGUCCUGAUCCUGUAGCGGGGUGUCAGGACUGACAUUUGAAGCUCAUUGACCAGAGACAAAUGCUUGUGACAGACAGUUAAAAGAAGUGUAAUAUAGUGAUUCCACUGUUUCCUUUCGCAUUUUAAAGGAACAAAUAUUGACAAAAUAUCUCUAAAAAGAAACUUUGUUGCUAUUGUCUUUAAAAAGAAAGAACAAACAGAAGUUUUCCCCCUAGAGGGAGACUGUGAAACUGUAACUAAUUCCAGGGAGCUUGCAGCUGUUACAGAUUACAAUCGUGGGAAAGGACUUGUGACCUUGCAGGACAAUGUUUUCAGAAGCUCUGUUGUGUGCUCUCUGUAAAAUAAAUGCCCUACUGGACCAGUUAAAUCAGAAGACGGACUUGAUGACUAAUGCGGCCAGAACUUUUGAACAGGUAGUGGGAAACUAUAUGGAGCCCACCCAGGAACUAAAACAGGAGUGUGCCCUGACAGAACAGAUGAGAGAAGAGGACGCUGCUGAAUCUUGGGCGCCGGAGAUGGAGGGAGCUGCGGCCCUGCAGGAACAUGAGCCUUUGGAUUUGACAAAUGAUCUUGGAAAAAACCAGAUUUGGAAAUAUAAAGUUUGGAUUGGUUUGGAAAUGGGGGGUUGGAUUGACCCCCCCAUGCAGGGAUGUUUGGACUUUCCGAGUCCGGCAAUGGGCCGUCAGAUGUUUGGAGCUGUGGGGGCUCUCAAUUUUGGAGGGAAUCUGAAACAUGUUCUUAAAUAUCACAUGGAGUUUAGUCCGGACUAUGGAAAAGGGGCUGAUUUGUUGAAAAGGGUCAAAAACAUUACCAAGCUGGAGUUCCCACGAGUGAAAGGAAAAUAUGAAGAAGAGCCGCGGAAGGGACAUGGAAGAGACUUGAGGGCCUCGGAUAUAAGGUUACCAGGUUAAUGCGCUAGAUCAACGGGAUAAAAAGGACUGACAAAACCCGGGACCAGGAGGAAGGGACGCUGGAUGAAGAUUGGAUUGUUCUUAUUUCUUUUUCUAUCGUUAGGAUUGUUUUAUAAAAUUGAUGAAUGUUAGAAAAAUGUUGAAAUGAAAUUACUUGGCUCUAGCAAAAAUGUUUAAAGAAUUAGGUAAGAAUAUUAUGGUUAUGAGAAGUUGGUAAAAAUAAGAUUUAAGCUUUAAGGUUU